rnacentral:tRNA from 1 species
GGCGAGGUAGCUCAGGUGGUUAGAGCGCAGGAUUCAUAACCCUGAGGUCGGGAGUUCGAGUCUCCCUCUCGCUA